rnacentral:misc_RNA from 1 species
UCUCCGUAGGUGAACCUGCGGAGGGAUCAUUACUGAGUUUAUCUAACUCCCAAACCAUUGUGAACUUACCACUGUUGCCUCGGCGGCAGUCCUCUGUAACAGGAGGCGGCCGCCGGUGGACUACUAAACUCUUGUUAAUUUUUGUCAAUUCUGAAUUAAAAACUUAAUAAGUUAAAACUUUCAACAACGGAUCUCUUGGUUCUGGCAUCGAUGAAGAACGCAGC